UUAAGUUAAUAAGGGCGCACGGUGGAUGCCUUGGCACUAGGAGCCGAAGAAGGACGUGACAAACGACGAUAUGCCUUGGGUAGCUGUAAGUAAGCGAUGAUCCAGGGAUUUCCGAAUGGGGGAACCCAACAGGUACUACCUGUUACCCGCAUCUGUUAAGGAUGUGAGGAGGAAGACGCAGUGAACUGAAACAUCUAAGUAGCUGCAGGAAGAGAAAGCAAAAGCGAUUGCCUUAGUAGCGGCGAGCGAAACGGCAGAAGGGCAAACCGGAGAGUUUACUCUUCGGGGUUGUAGGACUGCAAUGUGGACUCAAAGAUUAUAGAAGAAUGAUUUGGGAAGAUCAGCCAAAGAGAGUAAUAGCCUCGUAUUUAAAAUAGUCUUUGUACCUAGCAGUAUCCUGAGUACGGCGGGACACGUGAAAUCCCGUCGGAAUCUGGGAGGACCAUCUCCCAACCCUAAAUACUCCCUAGUGACCGAUAGUGAACCAGUACCGUGAGGGAAAGGUGAAAAGCACCCCGGGAGGGGAGUGAAAUAGAACCUGAAACCGUGUGCCUACAACAAGUUCGAGCCCGUUAAUGGGUGAGAGCGUGCCUUUUGUAGAAUGAACCGGCGAGUUACGUUAUGAUGCGAGGUUAAGUUGAAGAGACGGAGCCGUAGGGAAACCGAGUCUGAAUAGGGCGGAUUAGUAUCAUGACGUAGACCCGAAACCAUGUGACCUACCCAUGAGCAGGUUGAAGGUGCGGUAAGACGCACUGGAGGACCGAACCAGGGCACGUUGAAAAGUGCUUGGAUGACUUGUGGGUAGCGGAGAAAUUCCAAACGAACUUGGAGAUAGCUGGUUCUCUCCGAAAUAGCUUUAGGGCUAGCGUCGACAUUAGAGAUUCUUGGAGGUAGAGCACUGUUUGGGUGAGGGGUCCAUCCCGGAUUACCAAUCUCAGAUAAACUCCGAAUGCCAAUGAAUUAUGGUCGGCAGUCAGACUGCGAGUGCUAAGAUCCGUAGUCGAAAGGGAAACAGCCCAGACCACCAGCUAAGGUCCCAAAAUAAUUGUUAAGUGGAAAAGGAUGUGGGGUUGCACAGACAACUAGGAUGUUAGCUUAGAAGCAGCUAUUCAUUCAAAGAGUGCGUAAUAGCUCACUAGUCGAGUGACCCUGCGCCGAAAAUGUACCGGGGCUAAAACAAUUUACCGAAGCUGUGGAUACCUUUAUAGGUAUGGUAGGAGAGCGUUCUAUGUGUGAUGAAGGUAUACCGUGAGGAGUGCUGGAACGCAUAGAAGUGAGAAUGCCGGUAUGAGUAGCGAAAGACAGGUGAGAAUCCUGUCCACCGUAAGACUAAGGUUUCCAGGGGAAGGCUCGUCCGCCCUGGGUUAGUCGGGACCUAAGGAGAGACCGAAAGGUGUAUCCGAUGGACAACAGGUUGAUAUUCCUGUACUAGAGUAUGUAGUGAUGGAGGGACGCAGUAGGCUAACUAAAGCAGACGAUUGGAAGUGUCUGUCUAAGCAGUGAGGUGUGAUAUGAGUCAAAUGCUUAUAUCUAUAACAUUGAGCUGUGAUGGGGAGCGAAGUUUAGUAGCGAAGUUAGUGACGUCACACUGCCAAGAAAAGCUUCUAGCGUUUAAGCAUACUCUACCCGUACCGCAAACCGACACAGGUAGUCGAGGCGAGUAGCCUCAGGUGAGCGAGAGAACUCUCGUUAAGGAACUCGGCAAAAUGACCCCGUAACUUCGGGAGAAGGGGUGCUGACUUUAAGUCAGCCGCAGUGAAUAGGCCCAAGCAACUGUUUAUCAAAAACACAGCUCUCUGCUAAAUCGUAAGAUGAUGUAUAGGGGGUGACGCCUGCCCGGUGCUGGAAGGUUAAGAGGAGUGCUUAGCGUAAGCGAAGGUAUGAAUUGAAGCCCCAGUAAACGGCGGCCGUAACUAUAACGGUCCUAAGGUAGCGAAAUUCCUUGUCGGGUAAGUUCCGACCCGCACGAAAGGCGUAAUGAUUUGGGCAC
rnacentral:rRNA from 1 species